rnacentral:rRNA from 1 species
UACAGAGGUCUCGAGCGUUAGGCGGAAUCACUGGGCGUAAAGCGCACGUAGGCGGAUUGCUAAGUCAGGGGUGAAAUCCUGGAGCUCAACCCCAGAACUGCCUUUGAUACUGGCGACCUUGAGUCCGGGAGAGGUGAGUGGAACUGCGAGUGUAGAGGUGAAAUUCGUAGAUAUUCGGAGGAACACCAGUGGCGAAGGCGGCUCACUGGCCCGAUACUGACGCUGAGGCACGAAAGCGUGGGGAGCAAACAGG